CGGAGGAUCCAAGCGUUAUCCGGAUUAUUGGGUUUAAAGGGUGCGUAGGUGGCCUAUUAAGUCAGGGUGAAGACGGUAGCUCAACUAUCGCAGUGCCUUUGAUACUGAUGGGCUUGAAUACACUAGAGGUAGGCGGAAUGUGACAAGUAGCGGUGAAAUGCAUAGAUAUGUCACAGAACACCAAUUGCGAAGGCAGCUUACUAUGGUGUCAUUGACACUGAGGCACGAAAGCGUGGGAUCAAACAGGAUU
rnacentral:rRNA from 1 species